rnacentral:rRNA from 1 species
UGAGGAAUAUUGGUCAAUGGGCGAGAGCCUGAACCAGCCAAGUAGCGUGCAGGACGACGGCCCUAUGGGUUGUAAACUGCUUUUAUGUGGGGAUAAAGUGCGUGACGUGUCAUGCAUUGCAGGUACCACAUGAAUAAGGACCGGCUAAUUCCGUGCCAGCAGCCGCGGUAAUACGGAAGGUCCGGGCGUUAUCCGGAUUUAUUGGGUUUAAAGGGAGCGUAGGCUGUCUAUUAAGCGUGUUGUGAAAUUUACCGGCUCAACCGGUGGCUUGCAGCGCGAACUGGUCGACUUGAGUAUCCAGGAAGUAGGCGGAAUUCAUGGUGUAGCGGUGAAAUGCUUAGAUAUCAUGACGAACUCCGAUUGCGCAGGCAGCUUACUGUAGCAUAACUGACGCUGAUGCUCGAAAGUGCGGGUAUCAAACAGG